GGAUUCAAACAUGUAUAUAACAUGGGAGGGGGAUAUCUUGCGUGGGUAGAGAAUGGUCUACCUGUGGCUGUGGUGACACCCAAAGUGGAGCUCUAAGUCCUUUUGCAUGAUGAUACAAAGUGUUAUUGUAUAAAAAUUUUUUGAAGAAAAUGGAGAAUUAUGUCAACAAUCCCGCAAAUAUGCAUGAUUUUAGUUUAAUGAAUACGAAAGUCUUUGCGAACCUAAAAGGCUCUGGCGGUAACAUAUGGGAAGUCUUUGAAGUUUUAGAUGAUGCCCGACGUGCUAUUUUCAGAAAUACCGUCUUUGGCUAUUUUAUUGAUGUCCCUCGUUUACAAGGGGACGCUUUAUUGUUUCAUAAAAUGUUCCUUCAUCAGAUCCGGCCGGACCCUGUUUUAUCUCCAGAUGGAAUAAAACGUUUAUAUUUUCGAGUAGGCAAUACCAAAAUGGUUUAUGGGCCGGAAGAGUUUUGUUUGUUUACCGGCUUCAAUUUUGGGGAGUAUCCAAAAAACAUUGGGAGAAAAGGGUCGGAAAAAUUAAUAAGCAGUAAAAAAAGAUGUUUACUGCGUGAACGGCUAUUUCCGGACCAUACUAAUAGUUCGGUGAAAAUCGGCGACCUGAAAAGUUUAAUUUUAAAUCAAACAUUCCUAGCACUUGACGACCUUGAUGCAGUUAGAGUAUGUUUGAUAUACAUUUUGUGUGAAGGUUUUUUGGGCAAAGAAGUAAACGAUCGGGUGCCACAAGAUUGGUUUUUUUUGGCUGAGAAUUUGGAUCUCUGGAAUAGCUUCUCUUGGGGUAGCUAUCUAUGGGAUUUUACUUUUGUUGACCUUGAGGAUACGUGGAAUAAGAUACAUCAUUAUUUAUCACUUCCUCAGCGUGGUCAAACUUUAAAGUAUUCCGUCUCAGGAUUUACGACUCCAAUUAGGAUAUGGAUAUAUGAGAUGAUUCCGGCUGUUCGUGCAUGUGGAUUUGCAUUGAGAAAAAAUAAAGACUUGCCUCGGAUGAAAAGAUGGAGCGGAACAAAAAAAUUGAAAUGGGUUGACGUGAACAAGAUUUGGUCAAAGAUGCAGGAGGGGCUACCACCAAGACAAAACAUGUUACCGGGUGAUGGUGAGAUGACAUCUUUUUAUUAUAUGUCAUUUCAAGAGUAUGUAUAUGGUGAAGGGAAAGCAGUUCCAUCCCCAGUACGGGACCAUUUUAGGAGACAAGACGAAUCUUCGUCUAGUAUGUCGUCCAGUGGUCGCUCUCAUGGUAGAGGUCGGGGCAGUGGGAAACACAAGCUAGACGAGUUGUUGAAACGGGUACAUGCACUGGAGCAGCAUGUGUUUAUGAAUCAACAAAAACCUACAGAGGUUUUUGUUGAAGAAGUGAUGAACAAUUUUGGAACGACAUUAUUUUUGAGGAACCGACAGUGUCACAAAGAAAUUAUGAUGAACAGGUUGUGCAAGAUGAAAUGAUGAAUAAAAACAAUACAACUCAAAAUGUUUUUGGUGAUACUCAAGACGACAAGGUGUUGGAGGAGAGUACUCAGUAUGCGGGGAACAAAUUUGAUGAUGAUGUGUGUGAUGUAAACGAUUAUAGUGAAAUUAAAGAGGUUAUU